rnacentral:rRNA from 1 species
GAGGAAGUAAAAGUCGUAACAAGGUCUCCGUUGGUGAACCAGCGGAGGGAUCAUUACCAGAGUGCCCUAGGCUCUCCAACCCAUUGUGAACUUACCAAACGUUCCCUCGGCGGGCUCAGCGCGCGGUGGCCUCCGGGCCUCCGGGCGUCCGCCGGGGAAAACCAAACCCUGAUUUAAUCGUAUUUCUCUGAGGGGCGAAAGCCCGAAAACAAAAUGAAUCAAAACUUUCAACAACGGAUCUCUUGGCUCUGGCAUCGAUGAAGAACGCAGCGAAAUGCGAUAAGUAAUGUGAAUUGCAGAAUUCAGUGAAUCAUCGAAUCUUUGAACGCACAUUGCGCCCGCCGGCACUCCGGCGGGCAUGCCUGUCCGAGCGUCAUUUCAACCCUCAGGCCCACCCUUCCGGGGGAGCGGGCCUGGUUCUGGGGAUCGGCGGCCCUCGCGGCCCCCGUCCCUCAAAUUCAGUGGCGGUCGCGCCGCAGCCUCCCCUGCGUAGUAGCACAACCUCGCACCGGAGAGCGGAACGACCACGCCGUAAAACACCCAAUUUUUUAAGGUUGACCUCGGAUCAGGUAGGAAUACCCGCUGAACUUAAGCAUAUCA